UUUAACAAGACCUUAACUUGUCCGAGGAUGUUUACUAUCAACUAUCUUUGACUGAACCAAAGAAGACAAUGCUUCUGGUUUUGUGAAUAUUUAGCUUCUGAAACCUGAUGAGAUUCUUAGGAACACAGCACUGGAAAUAACCUCGUCAGUCACUGCUUCCAGCCUUGGGAUUUCCUCUUGCCAUUUUUGAACACCAGAGAUGAGUGGCAUCAGAAACCUCUUUACUCUGAGAAAUUUGCAGAAAAGUGCCACUUCCAGCGUCCCCUGCACUCCCGUGGUCUCAGAUUGCCAGCACAUGUGAACAAGACCCCUUACAUAAGAUGACAGCCAAGCAACCACGUAAGUCUGAUUUGUUGCAAAUAUAAACUGCCAGAGACAUCCUCCAUGUCAGAAAACAUUUUAUGUAGAACACUGCAUGGAAGAAUCAAAUAAAGCAAAACAAUAGCAUUACAUAAAGCAAAGGUAAGGUUUGGCCUUCAGACCCUUCAAAAAGAAGUUCAUCAUGUUGUUAUAGAAGAAAACCUGCCAUAUGGAAUCUACCUCCAGCCAUUAUAAACUUGUUUGGAAGUAAAAUUCUUUGGAAAACAAACCAUAACUACCCUGGGUUAGGGUUUUGUCUGUUUGAUUCAAAAUACUGCCUAAUGUUAGCAAUACCUGCUUUGUUAUGUCCUCUGAGUUUUCUGAGACAAUGUAGCAUUUAAGCUGAUAGAAUGCUUCAGCAAAGAGAGAUGAUCGUCUUGACAAAUUACAAUCAUAGAGCAUUAACGUGGGCCAUUAGUACAAGACCUCUUUCCCGUUGUAACUUUGUUCCUUCUUUUGAUGUGCACCUUAGGUAGAUCCAAGGAAUUUCAAGUUUUGUUUUGUUUUUUUUUGUAAAUGCAGAAAGUAUAAGCUGUGAUUGUUACAGAUGCUUGCAGUGAGACACUUGACAUCAGAUUAAUUUUGCCUGAUUGCAAGUGUUUGUAAUGCAUGUCCAUCUGAGCUGGUCACACCAGGACCACUUUGUAGUCAGUGGAAGAAAUCAGCAUUCUUAAGGCACAUCUAACCCAGUUUACUUAUUUACUCCAGGAUAGGUGCUGAUACCUCACCACUGACUUAAGAUUUUUGAAUGCAGUCAGAUGUUAUGACUGGUUAUUUGAUAUUUGUGCCAAUGUAUGUAGGGGUCAUAUCUUCCUCAUGUUGCCAUUUAGCUUCUUACUGACUUCAGAAGACCAAAUACAGGUCAACAGUUACUUCAUUGUCCCAGAGUGUUCUGUCACUACAAACAUCAUACUUCUACCUUGCCACCUCUCUGGUUUGAAGACUCCAGGUCAGAGUCACUGAUUUGACUCUUUCUGCUAUUGCUUGAGGAGCCUGAGGACACACACAUUUUCUGUUGUCACAGCAGCUACUGUCUUCCUUGCCACGUCUGUCUUAAAUAUUGUGACAAACUGAUUAAGACCAUUUUUGGCCUGAUUCUGUUGCCAAGGUCAGUCUCUCAAGCUAAAAGUGUGGAAGACAAAAUGCUACUCUUCACAACUGUUGAAAGUACACAGGUUGGCCACAGCUAGGUGGACACCUAAUCUGCCACCCUGGUUUCCCCUGAAAUAGCCUUUAGGGUCUACAGGUGUAUUUUGUCACGCCAACUCUUGCCAUAGAGCUGAACUUUAUAUCUGUGCCAUGGAGACUUAGAAGCCUUUGUUUGCUUGAAACAUAAAAACUGGGAUUAAGUUUGCUUUCUUCAAAGUGGCAGAGACUGGUUCUUCCUUGAUCUGUGAAGGCAUCUUUCCUCCUCCUUACUACUUAAAUUAUAGAGAAAAUAUGUGCCAGCCAAGCAAGACAUCUCACUAAGUGCCUUUGUUCUGGGUAGUUGUAAUGGCUACAAACUAAAAAAAAUCCUGUAAAUAAAACUGUUUUUCAGCCAGGGAAGACUGAUUGAUAAAGGUCACUAAAUGCUUCCCUGCUGGAGUGUGAAAUCAAUGAAAAGUUUAAUCUGGUAUGAUCUGGCAAUUUGUCAGAUUUAGAAGAGGCCAUGUGAGCUAAGGAUGUAGGACACAGUAAUGAAACAAGGAGAGAAGAAAUAAACCCCCAACUCAGAAUCCAAAAGCCACCACUCCCAGGCCAGAAAGAGAGAAGAGAAAGGCUGAACUACCUGUUCAGUUGAAAAAUAUCUAUUUGAGUUUUUCCUCCACCAUCAUACUUAUUUUUUUAAUGUCUUCUGCUAACUCAGAUCAGUUGAGCAUGAUGGACUAAAAUCACUGAGAGAUGGAUAUUUUGCUGCUUGCUUACUUUCCACAGGAUGGUGGACAGGUUGGGAUUUCCAAGCCACAGGAUGUUACCAGGGGAUGCGCAGACUCAAAGACUGUGAGGAGUUCUGAAAAAUUUUUAAAAUAAUGGAAAUCCUUUGUCCUCCACUAGAACCUAUUCCAUCUGAUUUGUGAAAAGAACAGGUUACCGAUGAAGCAAUGAAAAAUUACUCUUCCAAAGCUGGUGCCACACAUUAGAAAGGACAUGUCCAGCUAGUAGCUGGGUUAUGUGAACCAGAAUUGGGUAGUGCCUUUGAGAUAGCUGCCAUGUACUGAAAUUUAGGGAAAAAUGUGAAAUCAGUGAACUGAAAAGUUACUAAACAAUCAGACUGACCCACACAGGUGUACACACAGAACAGGACAGCAAAAAAAAGCUUUGCUUGCCAUUUCUUAAUGUUAAAGAUAAGCCAGGCUAAGUAGCAAAGAAUGACAUUAUGCACUGCAAGCCAGGUGGAAACUGAUGACAAAGUUUGAUGCAAAAGUAUAAAAAAAGUAUAAAAAAAAAAAGCAAACAAAAAACAUAACUUUAACACUAAAAAAUAUGUUACUUGUGAUAAAAUAAAUUACUCUUCUCUGUAAAUGUUUAAGUUCUUUGGGGAUUACUUUUAGUCUGUUGUUUGGUUGAUUGUUUUUUUUUCCUGAGAAAUUAGACCGUGAAUUUCUCAGUCUCUAUAUAUGUGAAUGCAUGUCUGUUAUCCCCAAAUAACAUUUGAACUACUUAGCCAACUUCAACAAAGUUAACAGAGACAUAGGAAUCUCAAAGAAAAUUAAGUUCUUUUGACUUUUAUGAAAAUAGGCCACCAGGCUGAGGGUAGACACUUGUUAAGUUCUUUAUCUAGGAGAAGUUUUGCAGCAAUAUUAGGCCCAGGGACGUAGCACGUAGGAGAGAAAAGACCUUAUAAAUAUUCCAGCUACCAAGAAAACUUCAAAUGAACCUUGAAAUAAUCCACAAACUAUACAAUUCAUAUGGACUCAUAAGUUCCAGCACACAUAGAGAUGUUUUUGUUGGUCGUGGUUUUUCAUCCAUAGAGGACACGGGGUAUCCAAGUCUUAGUGAAGAACAGUUGUUAAAUAACUCUGACUUAUUGGAUGUGGGCACAGAGGCUGAUUCCAAGACACCUGAAGACUUGAGUUUGGGGUAAGUUUUCUCGUUACCUCACUAUAUUUAUUUCUUGCACUAUAAAUUUCAGUUACAGGUUCAUACUCUGAUUAAUUCUAGUUUUAGAAAUAUAAUAUAAUUUUGUUUACUGCCUAUGAAAGUAAUAACAUCUCAUAGGAGAUUCAUUUACACUUAAUAAUUUUUAAUGGCCCAACUUCAUCACUGCACAGUAAAGCAGGGUCCUUGAGGAGAUUACUUUUACAUUGAGGUGAUUUAUUUGGAAGUAGAAUGAGAACUGAUAGUCCGAGACAUUCUAUGAACCUACUAAUCUGUUCACUAUGAAAUUAGCAAAAAGCCUCCCAUUGUCUUCACUGGCCUUUGGAUCAGCUUCUCAGAUGAUGAUAUGCACAACAUGAGACUGCUUUGUGCCUUUUUAAUUUUUUCCAGAAAUUUAGCCAAGAUUCACUUUUUUCCAGCUUCUAAAUUAGAUGAUGAGACUUCAUAAACUGUUUACAUAAUUUUUCUUUAUAAAUUGAAAAUACCACAGUAGAUCUGUCCACCCAAUUCCUGACCUGUUACUGUAAAAAAACCCAAAACAAAGCAAACAACAACCACGCAACACAUGCCUUAUUAAAGCUCAUGUAGUUUUGACACCACCUUUUGAAAAGACAGUUCAAUAUGCCAGCUUUUUAUGGCAUUGUUCCCAUACAUUUUUUUUUUAUUGUAUGAACAGGGAAACUUUUGGUAAACUGGAUAUAAUACUGUGUUACAAUAGCUAUCAUACUAUGAUUUUAAAUAACAACACAAACAUAUUACUGUUACAGAGUAUGUUCAUUGAAAGCUAUCUAGAUUUAUUUUCAGGACUAUUUAAUUCAGUAUCAUGUAAUUGGGAUUGUUAAUGAAAGCAUGGAGAGAUGAUUAAUAAUUAGAUGUUAUUGUUUGAAUAUGAAAGAGACAUGAAUGUCCUUUUCACACCAUUCUGGAUUUAAUUUGCGUAUUUAAAUGCUUUUCUGGAAUUACAGCAAUGCUAAGUUUUACUCUUUGGGUUAUGUUAAGUUUUGUUCUUUGAGUCAUUCCCACAAAUAUUUUAGUAUGUUUGCUAAAGUUAAUUCACUAUUCUUUCAUAAUGACACCUACCAGCCAAAAAAUAAUUGUCAUCCCCAUCAAAUUGUUUGUCUCUUAUUUUACCAUGCUUUGUAAAAUUGUCCAAGUACUUCACUGGAGAUUAACAUACUAGAAUAAAAUCUAUGGCAAUAUACCCACUACUGAUGUAUAUAAAUCUUGCUUUAAAAUGUUAACAAUAGCAACAGGAAAUAAAACCUGAUUGUGAACAAAUUUCUCUAAGAAAUUGUGUUUGGAUUCCAGCAUAUAUUGUGGCACUUUGUAUCUUUUUUAACUAUUGAAAAUAAUUAGACCUAUUUGACUGUCCUAUUUGAUUAGUCCUAUUUUGCUGAAAAGUACAGUUUAAGAACAUAAGUUAUUUGGACAGUAUUUAAGAAUGGAAACAAUGUGUGUGCUGAUGACUUUUUAAGAUUAAAAUUUAGAUAUUUAAUAGAGUCUGGCUAUCUUUAUUCCUCUCUAGAAAAGGAAAACUGGACCAGUCACAGCAUGAAGUCU